UUAAGUAUGUAGAUAAAGAUGUUUGGAAGGAUAUAUACCAAAACCUUAACCAUAGUUUUGAGGGGCUAGAUUAUGUGAAACUUACACUUUUCAAAAUAUUUAUUUUGCAGUGUUUGGAAAUAUUACACAACAUGUGAAUUUUUAAAACUAGAAGAAAAUAAUAAAGAUAUAAUUCAUUUCCCUAAUGGACUGACCUGUGUUUAUCCUUCACAGUGUCACAUCUCUGGCACUGCCAUCAAGGGUGGUACUUUGUGGGGUGUGACUCUUCUCUUUGAGGCAUACCUUGGAGAUAUUGCGGGUUUGGUUCUGAGCCACUGCAGUACAGUGAAUAUUGCAGGAAGACACAGGCAGUUCUGCGACAAGCCUGGCUUGAAAACAUCCGUCCAGUUUUAGUGAUUAAUAAGAUAGAUCACUUGAUAGUGGAACUGAAAUUCACCCCACAGGAGGCCUAUUCUCACCUCAAGAAUAUUUUAGGACAGUUUAAUGCACUCACAGGAACUCUUUUUACUUCAAAAGUGCUAGAGGAAAGAGCAGAGAGAGAGAAAUUGAACCCCAAGCGAAUCCAGAUUCUGAACAAGGAGAGCAAGCAUAUGACUGGAGCACUGGCCUGGAGGACACAGAUGAUUCUCACCUUUACUUCUCUCCAGACCAGGCGGCGGCCACAUGGCCUUUGAUUUCUCUUGGUCUGAAACUAUUUGCUCGCUUUGGAGUCUGUGAAGUCUUAAAACGUUCUGAGACAACACUGAGAUCGUGGUUACAAAUUAUCGAAGCCAAUUAUCAUGCUCCUAACGCCUACCACAACUCUACACAUGCUGCCGAUGUGCUUCGCGCCACUGCCUGUUUUCUCUGCCAAGAGAGGAUAAAGGAAACUGAUAAAGAUCAAGAAGCCAUAAACACUAUGCUCAGGACUCCAGAGAACUGCACUCUGGUCAAAUGAAUGCUGAUUAAGUGUGCUGAUGUGUCCAAUCCCUGCCGACCCCUGGAGCAGUGCAUUGAGCAGGUCGCACGUAUCUCAGAAAACUAUUUCUCUCAGGAAGGUCACCAUCUCUGCUUCACCAACACUGGGGUUGCCUCUCCCACCAGAUGAUUACCUUCUAUCUACCAGUGAUGCUCCAGCAAUGGACAGGUGACCCUGUUCUGCCGAACAUGCCACAAAGAGAAGUCUACAAGGAUGAUUCUGAAUCAAGUACUCACUCCCACCAAAGAGCCACAGGGAAAGACCAUCUCCCCUCUCUCUCUCUCUCCCUCUCUCUCUCGAGGUGGGUUGGGUCUGGAUGUGACACCUGGGACUGCUGCAGCCAUAUUGCUACCAGUCCAAGGAUGAAGCCACCUCCAACAGUGACAGAGUUGAAGGAUGGAAGAAAUCUGGGUCAGUGGUAUCGACCAGCUCCUGAAUCCUCAAAACUCUAGACUU